UUCCAUGGGGGUUUGAGCUCUUGUGCGAGUGAUAGCAAGCCGAAUAUUGUUAUGAUUUUGCGUUAUUCGACUCUUGGUCAAUAUUUUAUGUUGUGAAGUGACUAUUAUUAUUUAUAUUAUUGUUUAUUGUUUAUUAUACCCGCAGAAACAUUAUAAUUUAAAAUAUAUCGGGUUAAAUGGCUACCAACCCGGGAUUUAUUUAAAUUUAUUAUUUAUUUAUUGCAUACUAUCUCUUUCUUGCUUUCCUUUUCCAACACCUGAAACUGCUCUCUGAUUAUUUUCUAUUAUUUCAUUUUUCAUUUCAUUUCUUAUUUAUUGUUUAUUUUGUUAUUUUGUUCGUGGGGUACACGAACUGGCGCCCGAUUCGGUUAUCUAACCCAGCCUGGGAAGAGCUGUCUAUCUAUUGGGGAUCGUGGGCAUCUCCAAGGGAUUUUUGGUUUCGUUUAUUAUUUUUUUAUUUUCAGUUUACCAUCGGUGGGCCUUAACGGCUAUUCUGCACAUACCACACUCCGCCGUGGGUUGUGACGAAUAGUAGAGAACGUUAUAGAACUAAGCCUUCAAAGCUCUUCCUGUCCAGAGGAGGAUUCACGGGCGAACCCAGUCUUCUGGACUGGUAUCAGUGAGGGUUGGCAGUUGGAUCCAGUGGACGUUCCAUCCGUGCAUCCACCCAGCAUCCCUUUCCACGACCCUUGUUACGGGUACUAUUCAGAGGCCUAUUUCAAGGCCACCGGCCGAGACGAGUACGCACUAGCGGAGACGAAGAAAUUACGGAAAAAAGGGAUUAUUUGGGCCGACCUAUGGGGCCCAUAAUCUCCACCAUGCGUCUUCAUCAAAAUAGUGUUGAAGUGAGUUUACAUUGACUCUAGUACAGAGCACUUAAGACAAGUCAUUUAAUAUUUUUUUUCUAAAGUUAUAAUAUAACUGCAUAGAGGAAAAACAUCAAAAUUAUUCAAAGUUCUUUUGAAAAUCAUUGUUUGUCGGAGUUGUGUCUAAUAAAAAAUAAAAAAAAAAUAAAAAAAUGAACCAUCGAACGUUAUGACCCCAUGCAUGCAAUGAUGUUUGUAACCAUUCAGCGCAAAUAGAAUUGGAUAAAGUAAGUGUUGCAAGUGAAGACGAUAUUUUUGGUGACUGCGGCGAAUACAAUCGUCAGCGUACAGAAGAGAAACAUAUGAAAUUCGUCAAUCAAGAAAAAAGAAAUCGAUUUACAAAUUUUAUAUUGGAAGAGUUUAUUAUUAACCUCCAAAGAUCGUAAGGAUUUUGAACAAGCUUGCCAUAAAAUUACGUUCAUGUUAACUAAUUUAAUGUUCAAAGCUUACAAAAACUGACAUUAUAAAAUUAAUAUCUUAAUUUAAC